rnacentral:rRNA from 1 species
UGACGAGCGGCGGACGGGUGAGUAAUGCUUGGGGAUCUGCCCUAUGGCGGGGGAUAACUGCGGGAAACUGCAGCUAAUACCGCGUAAUAUCUAAGGAUUAAAGUGUGGGACCGUAAGGCCACAUGCCAUAGGAUGAACCCAAGUGAGAUUAGCUAGUUGGUGGGGUAAUAGCCUACCAAGGCGUCGAUCUCUAGCUGGUCUGAGAGGAUGACCAGUCACACUGGGACUGAGACACGGCCCAGACUCCUACGGGAGGCAGCAGUGGGGAAUAUUGCGCAAUGGGGGCAACCCUGACGCAGCCAUGCCGCGUGAAUGAAGAAGGCCUUCGGGUUGUAAAGUUCUUUCGGUAAUGAGAAAGGGGCUUUGCUUAAUAGGUAAAGUCAUUGAUG